UACAGAGGUGGCAAGCGUUGUUCGGAAUUACUGGGCGUAAAGGGCGCGUAGGCGGCCAUCUAAGUCAGACGUGAAAUCCCCCGGCUUAACCUGGGAACUGCGUCUGAUACUGGACGGCUUGAGUAUGGGAGAGGGAUGUAGAAUUCCAGGUGUAGCGGUGAAAUGCGUAGAUAUCGUAAGGAAGACCAGUGGCGAAGGCGAGUCUCUGGACAGUUACCGACGCUGAGGCACGAAGGUCAGGGGAGCAAACGGG
rnacentral:rRNA from 1 species